rnacentral:tRNA from 1 species
CAAGAAAUAGUUUAAUUAAAAUUUUAAUUUUGGAGAUUAAAGAUGGGAAUUUCCUUUUCUUGA